rnacentral:rRNA from 1 species
UACGUAGGGGGCAAGCGUUGUCCGGAUUUAUUGGGCGUAAAGAGCGUGUAGGCGGCCAGGUAGGUCUGCUGUGAAAACUCGAGGCUUAACCUCGAGGUGUCGGCGGAAACCAUCUGGCUAGAGUCCGGAAGAGGAGAAUGGAAUUCCCGGUGUAGCGGUGAAAUGCGCAGAUAUCGGGAAGAACACCCGUGGCGAAGGCGGUUCUCUGGGACGGUACUGACGCUGAGACGCGAAAGCGUGGGGAGCGAACAGG